rnacentral:rRNA from 1 species
UACAGAGGUCUCAAGCGUUGUUCGGAUUCAUUGGGCGUAAAGGGUGCGUAGGUGGCGCCGUAAGUCAGGGGUGAAAUCUCGGGGCUCAACCCCGAAACUGCACUUGAUACUGCGGUGCUCGAGUACUGGAGAGGAGAUUGGAAUUUACGGUGUAGCAGUGAAAUGCGUAGAUAUCGUAAGGAAGACCAGUGGCGAAGGCGAAUCUCUGGACAGUUACUGACACUGAGGCACGAAGGCCAGGGGAGCAAACGGG